CUACGGAGGGAGCAAGCGUUAUUCGGAAUCACUGGGCGUAAAGGACGCGUAGGCGGGUUUGUAAGUCAGGUGUGAAAUCCUACAGCUCAACUGUAGAACUGCACUUGAAACUACAGACCUAGAGUAUGGAAGGGGCAGAUGGAAUUAGUGGUGUAGGGGUAAAAUCCGUAGAUAUCACUAGGAAUACCGAAAGCGAAGGCGAUCUGCUGGGACAUUACUGACGCUGAGGCGUGAAAGCGUGGGGAGCAAACAGGAUUAGAUACCCUAGUAGUCC
rnacentral:rRNA from 1 species